rnacentral:rRNA from 1 species
UACGUAGGGGGCGAGCGUUGUCCGGAUUUAUUGGGCGUAAAGAGCUCGUAGGCGGUUUGUCGCGUCUGCUGUGAAAACCCGAGGCUCAACCUCGGGCCUGCAGUGGGUACGGGCAGACUAGAGUGCGGUAGGGGAGAUUGGAAUUCCUGGUGUAGCGGUGGAAUGCGUAGAUAUCAGGAGGAACACCCGUGGUGUAGACGGCCUGCUGGACGGUCACUGACGCUGAGGCACGAAAGCGUGGGGAGCAAACAGG